AACAUGUCAGUACGGCGAGUGAGCGGCACAGCUCAAUUUGAAAUCUGGCCCCCAGGGCCCGAGUUGUAAUUUGCAGAGGAUGCUUUUGGCGCGGUGCCUUCCGAGUUCCCUGGAACGGGACGCCAUAGAGGGUGAGAGCCCCGUCUGGUCGGACGCCUAGCCUGUGUAAAGCUCCUUCGACGAGUCGAGUAGUUUGGGAAUGCUGCUCUAAAUGGGAGGUAUAUGUCUUCUAAAGCUAAAUACCGGCCAGAGACCGAUAGCGCACAAGUAGAGUGAUCGAAAGAUGAAAAGCACUUUGAAAAGAGGGUUAAAUAGUACGUGAAAUUGUUGAAAGGGAAGCGCUUGUGACCAGACUUGGGCCCGGUGGAUCAUCCAGCGUUCUCGCUGGUGCACUCCGCCGGGUUCAGGCCAGCAUCAGUUCGCCGCGGGGGAAAAAGGCUUCGGGAACGUGGCUCCUACGGGAGUGUUAUAGCCCGUUGCAUAAUACCCUGGGGCGGACUGAGGUUCGCGCUCCGCAAGGAUGCUGGCGUAAUGGUCAUCAGCGACCCGUCUUGGACCCAAGAGACACA
rnacentral:rRNA from 1 species